UGUUUCCUACGGGGGGCAGCAGUGGGGGAUAUUGCACAAUGGGGGGAACCCUGAUGCAGCGACGCCGCGUGAGCGAUGAAGUAUUUCGGUAUGUAAAGCUCUAUCAGCAGGGAAGAAAAUGACGGUACCUGACUAAGAAGCCCCGGCUAACUACGUGCCAGCAGCCGCGGUAAUACGUAGGGGGCAAGCGUUAUCCGGAUUUACUGGGGGUAAAGGGGGCGUAGACGGAAGUGCAAGUCUGAAGUGAAAGGAAAGGGCUCAACCUUUGGA
rnacentral:rRNA from 1 species